UCUCUGUUUUUCACAGGGGAAAACAAAAAUCCCUAAACCCUUCUCUUCUCUCCAACUCCAUCUCUAUUUUUCCCUAAACCCUUCAACCCUAAAUUUGACGGACUUCCCAUGUUUCUCUCUUCCACGAGCAAAACCCCUUAAAGCCUAUCCUUCUCUUCAUCUCUCUCUCUUAAUGUUGACUAUUUCAAGAAUGAAGUCUCUUAUGUCAGCCUCACCCUUUUCUCUUCACCUCUCAAAGGCCACACCUUUUGGUGUCUUCUCUCUGGCAUCCAAAUCCUCCUCUAAUUUGAUUCCGACCAUUCUUCAGAGCUCCAUAUCUCUCCACACAAAACCCAGAAUGAUUUUACCCAAGUUCCCAAUUUUUUCAAUCCACAACCGGAGGCUGCAAUCGGAAUCCUCUGGCUCGUCGUCCGACGGGGAGAUUCAUGUGAUUGUGGGCCCUAUGUUCGCUGGCAAAACUACCACGCUUCUCCGCCGCAUUCAGUGUGAGAGCGAAAAUGGCAGCUUUCAGGUUAAGCGACGUAAGAAGUGGUUUCACUUGGACGAAACAUUAAGAGAACUUUGUGUUUCGGGGAGAUUGAGCCAAGCUGUCGGGCUGUUAUGGGGUACGGGGCUGGGGGUGGACUCAGGAACCUAUGCUCUUCUAUUGCAGGAGUGCAUAUACAGGAAAGAAUAUAAAAAAGGGAGGAGAAUCCACGCACAAAUGGUAGUUGUUAGGUUUAUUCCCAACGAAUAUCUAAAAACUAAACUGUUGAUAUUGUAUGCAAAAUUAGGGGAUCUUGAAACUGCUAAGAUUUUGUUCCAUAUAUUGUCAGUGAAAAGCUUAAUUUCUUGGAAUGCAAUGAUUGCUGGAUAUAUACAGAAGGGACUUGACGGAAUGGGACUGCAUGUGUAUUACAAGAUGAGAGAGAAUGGUAUGAAGCCAGACCAGUAUACCUUUGCAUCAGUUUUUAGAGCCUGUGCGACUCUUGCGACACUGGAGCAUGGGAAGCGAGUCCAUGGUGUCAUGAUAAAGAGCCAUAUUGAGGAAAAUGUUGUAGUCAAUAGCGCCCUCAUAGACAUGUACUUCAAAUGCUGCAGUAUUUCUGAUGGGCAUUUGGUGUUUGAUAAAUCAUUGAGUAGGAAUGUGAUUACUUGGACGGCUUUGAUAUCUGGUUAUGGACAGCAUGGAAGAGUUAUGGAGGUUCUGGAAUCAUUUUCCAGGAUGAAAAAUGAAGGUUUGAGGCCAAAUGAUGUUACUUUCCUUGCAGUUCUUUGUGCUUGUAGCCAUGGAGGUUUGGUUGAUGAAGGUUGGGACUAUUUCUUGUCAAUGACAAGAGACUAUGGGAUCCGACCUAGGGGGCAGCAUUAUGCAGCAAUGGUUGAUCUUUUAGGACGUGCUGGGAGAUUGCAAGAGGCUUAUGAUUUUAUUUUGAAAUCUCCUUGUAUGGAUCACUCAGGUAUAUGGGGUGCUUUGCUUGGGGCUUGUAGAAUUCAUGGAGACAUAGAUAUGAUAAAGCUUGCAGCAAAGAAAUUCUUUGAACUUGAACCAGAAAAUUCUGGAAAGUAUGUGGUCUUAUCUAAUGCUUAUGCCACCCAUGGAUUUUGGAACAAUGUAGCUGAAGUUAGGUUGAUGAUGAGGAAUACAGGGUUACAGAAGGAGCCUGGCUAUAGCAGGAUUUGGGUUCAAAACAAUGUCCACUACUUUUUAAAGGGUGAUGAAUCUCAUCACCAAUCUGUGGAAAUAUAUGAACUGAUUAAUGAAAUGUCCUGUGUUUUAAAUGAUGUGGGCUGUGUUUCUGAUAUAAACUGCAAAUAACUCAUGUUGAAGAAAAAAGUUGGUAUUUGUGUCUAUUUGGCACUGGUGUAUCUUCUUGAAAGAAGGUCUGCUUGAAGGUUACAAGAUGAUGCUUAUUGCAGACGUAGUACUUUGAGGAGAUAUAUUGACUUACGAAAACCUAUCGAUGGGAAAGGGGCGUGAUAUCUGAGACACAUACAGUGCCCCAAACAUUACUCUUUUUGAACCAUAGUUAAGCUAUGGUGUGGGGCAAAGAUACGGCAGAGAUUUAUUGGCCUCUAUGUUACCACUGCUUGAACAAUUGAAGAAAAACAUCAUAGUUUAAGAUACUGUUGAUUUAGUUAAAAAGUACUAGUCAGGCUUCUGACUCAGUUUUGCCUAAUAUGCUGCCAGUCAAUUUGAAAAUAUGCUGCCAGUCAAUUUGAAGCUGAGGAGUCUUUUCGAGGAACUAAGUAUCGGUGGGAUGAAAGAGGCUAUUUGGUACUUACAAACUCUAUCAUUUUCCUAUAAUCUAUUAUGUAUUUACCAAUUUCCAAGAGCUGUUCCCGGCUGGAUUCCUGUCAUGCCAUGACAAACUUUGUAAGAAGUAUUUGGCAAAGAAACAGUUUACCGCUCUCUGGUUAGCUUUGUGGGUUCCCGGCCUUAUUCUUGAUUUCUCUUCAUUAGUCACUUCUGUUGACGGCUUCAUUGAUUCUCCAGAUGCCACCGCCAUGUAAUUUUAGUAUGCUUUUCCAUAUCCUUACCGUUCAGGAUUACAUUACUCAGAGAAUGCUUAUCGAUCAGGGAAUAUGUUGAAAUUUGAAAAGCAUUACUCACGAAGCAAAGGGGAUGCAACAAGCUGACACUGUGAUUUGAUGUUUAAAGACAAUUUUCAUUUGUUAUGGCAUUCGGAACUUUGCAAAAGGACCUUCUGUCUGUUUCCAUUGAAGGGGCAGCAAUUAUUGCUGCUUGUUCAAUUCAACUGCAUGACUUAUUUUUAUGAAGUGUUGCGGUAAUAAAGUCAAAUAAGGAUACAAGAUAUAGAUUGGAUUCUAUAGUCACACAUGAUGGAAUGAAGUUGCCUUGUUCGGCGUUGGCAAAUUUGUCGUCAUUCAGGCAAAAAUUCGGUCCUGAUGCUUA